rnacentral:piRNA from 1 species
UGGGCGAAUAUUUUUUUUAAU